AUAUAGUCGGGUAUGCAGAAUCUGUAUAUUACACCACCAACUUCAACUUGAGUUCAACUAUAAAGAAGAACACAAUGAAGUAUAUCAAAUAUCCGACUAUAUUGUGGGAAAUAAUAAUCUUAAGGAAAUAAUCCCCCUCACCCGAGGUUGUGGAAUUUUUCCUCCCAAGAUAAAAUGGCUAACCAGACCAACUGUAGCGGUA
rnacentral:lncRNA from 1 species